GUUUUACUACAACCUGCACAUUUGCAGCCUAUCCUUCAAAGUGUGGCAGUUCUAAGUUAGUCACUCGGGAGUUAAGGAAGUCUGUAAAUCAGUUAUCAUUCAUUUUAUACUGACUCUUUUACUACAAAACUGGCAGGGUUAUUUACUAAACUGAAUUUCAAAUGUAAGCAGAGUAGCUUGAAGCAAAGCUGACUUAGAGAUUUGUUUUUCCAUUUUGGCUAUUUUCACUGUAAAGUUUGAAUUCUCAAUUUAAUGAAUAACCCUGUGGGAUAUGUCUAGAUCCGAUAUAAAGCCUGCAGGCUAACAGAAGGGUGACCGUUAAAGCUGUUGCACUAAAACUCUCUUGUCUACAGCCAUUACUUGAAGUACAGCCCUGAUGUAAAAAAUAAUAUUUUUAACACAAAAAUGUCCCCAGUGCGUGAAGUAUCUUUCAGUUCCUUUGUUGCUCAAUAAAAGUCUUUCAAAAUAUUGCCAUAGAACUGAAGUAAUUGAAUAGAUUCCUCAAAGUCCUCUCUAAAAACAUAAUGUCUAUGGGAAAUGGUCAAGCUCAGAGGUUGUGGAUCUGUGCAUUUAUUUUUAUUUUUAUUUUUUUUCACAUGGAUCAAAGCUUUUGAUUUUCUGUUUGACAUUGCCAAGACAGCUGGCAUUAGUUAGUGGGCCUCUCUGGUAUUUCUCAUAAUAUUAAACCAUUUCAGAUUUCAUCUAAAAGUACACUAUAGUUAACUUGUUGAUUUACUUGUUACCAACCGGUGGAAACACUUCACCUCAUAAUGUUUAAUAUCUGCUGAUAUGACUUACUAUAAACAAAAUUAUGUACACAAGAUUUAUGGUAACGCAAUAUUCGUUUUGCAAAUAGUUUUUUGUUUUUUUUUUUCUCUCUGUAAGUUCAUAGCUGUAACCUAAAUUAAUGAGACUCUGAUAGCAUCAUUGACAAUCAUACAUGCCUCUUACAAAGUGGGAUCUCCUUGCAUAUAUCUUAUGUGUCUCCCUCUAGUUUGUUUUUAUUUUUUCUUAGCAGUGAAUUGAUAUCCUUCCACCUGCUGAUAUGAUGUACGUGAAACGAUCCUCCCUCAGACAUCUCUUGCCUAGAGUGUGCAAUACAACUCCUGUGUUUCUUGAUUUGCUUGUACAGGGUGUCUUGACUUGUUCUGUGAGAGCUGCUACCAUUAUGAACUUCCAGCCAGUUUUAGCACUUUGUGGUUUUGAGACAAACGUUUACUAAUAAGAGGUGAAUUUUGUUAUGUGUAGGUUUUUCUUAUUUCAAACAUGAUCUCCUUUGUUGACAAAGUAAUUGAGGGUUGGUCCACUCCAUCCUAUUGAGUACCUUUUUAUUUUACGACCAUUACUUUUUAAAUAUAUAUAUUAUAUAAAAUAUAUUUCCAGCACCCACAUCACAACUGGAGUGUAGGGAAAUGUAUUACAUACAGGUUAUUGUAGAUGUAUGUACAUGUUUUAUUAUAUACAGUUCCAGUGACUGACUUAGAAUUCUAUGAACAAAAUAUAUUGUGAUUUAUAACCAACUUGUUUUGAGAGAUUUUUUUUGCUUGAACCUGCACAACUGGAAUGUUGUAAGAGCAUAUCUAACAUCUUUAAAUUUAAGGUUUUUGUUUUACAAAUGAUGAUGUAAUGCAAUAAAAGAUUUUACUAACACCAUA